AUGGGCCAAAAACUUUCUAAAGAGGCACACUUCAUUAAGGAUCUCAAAGCCUCUCUCAGGGAAAGAGGAGUUAGAGUUAAAAAGAAAGAUUUGAAAAAAAUUUUUAUCUUUGUCUCCCAAGUCUGUCCAUGGUUCAUAAUAGAUGGACCAGAGAUUCAUCCCCUUAAAUGGGAAAAGGUAGCAUGUGAUCUUAAUGAUAUUUUAAAUAAAGAAGGACCAGAUGCAGUGCCUACUCAAGCCAUUUAUUUAUAGUGGUCUUAUUAGAGAUAUCAUUAAGUCAUCCUCGGCUGAGGCAGGCAAGAUUGUUUCAUUGGCUGAGGAUUUGCUUAAACCAAUUUCUUGCUUGGCUUCUAUGUCUUCUGUAAAGAUUGCAGACCCACUGUUAUCACAACCUCCCUCACCAUGCCCCUCCGUUAUUAUUAAUAUGUCUUCCACAGAGGACCGAGCUGUUUGCCCCAAAAAGCCUGUCCAACUACUCUUUCCUCAACUGCCCGCUGAUGCAGCCGCAUUCAGUGAGGCAACAUUACAAGAUUUAAAGCUUACCUAACCCAUUUUUAAGAGGCCUCACGACAAUCGCCUAAGUCCCUCUGAGGAGAGCGAUUUGGAGGAAGAGGCUGCCCGAUAUCGCAACCCUGAUUGGCCAGUCAUUGUGAACACAGUGGCACGUUCUAGGCCCCCUCCUUACCUCUCAGCUCCUGAAAUUUGUGUACCCGUGGUCAUUUCACUGCCUCCACAAGGUGAUUACCUUUUACAGGCCAAAUAUCAUCUAUCAAAACAAAUUUCCGACCUUAAAGAGGUCCUAAAUUGACAAAAGCAGUUUGCUGAUCUCUCGACAGAGCUCUCCUCUCUUCAGGAGACUGUGAGACAGACCGUUUUCCCUGGUCCAUUGAUGGCUCCGUUCCUUUUCCCUGCCAUCUCUGGCGUCCAUCAGGCUUUCAGGACGGCCAGCUCGCCACAUUCUCACCCUAACAAAGCCUCCCAAAAAUCUCAUUCUAACAAAAGCUCCCAGAGAGUUAGUUCCAAAAAAUCCUUGGCGUUCCCUCUGUUAACCCGCCAGAGCUCCAAAGAGGCUUCCUCCUCAGAGGAGGACCCUGCUGCUGAUACAGAACAUGGCACUGAGGAUGAAAAAGCAAGCGGUAGUGAAACUGAAAAUGCGACCAAGGCCGAGGCCCCACUCGAGAGAUGACUGAGUAUAAAAGAUUAAAGUUUAAGCCUCUUAAGGAUCUUAAUAUUGCAAUAAAAAAUUAUGGUCCUAAUGCACCCUUUACUGUUUCCAUGCUUGAAGCCCUCUCCAGAGGGGGAUACCUGACUCCCACUGAGUGGUUUAGUUACCCAGGAAGUUUUGACUGUGGAUAGUUUUUGUCUUGGAAAGCUGAUCUUCUAGACAGGUGCCAAUCUCUCACAAGGCAGAACCAGAGAGAUUCCAAAGCACCUGCAGCUGAGUGGACUUUUGAUAAACUCAUAGGACAGGGGAAAUAUGUGUCUAAGAAGCACCAACUUAAAUUCCCCACUGGACUCCUAUCACAGGUUAAUGAGGCUGCCCUUGGGGCAUGGCGGGCCAUCCCUUCAAAGGGCUCUAUGACUACCCCAUUGACCAAAAUUAUUCAGGGAGCUCAGGAGCCUUGCAAUGAGUUUGUGAGGAGACUCUUAGAAACUGCUGAAAAGGUCCUGGGCCCUGAGGAAAAUAAUAGCAACUGUUUAUAAAACAGUUGGCCUAUGAGAAAAUACAAAAUCUGCCUGUAAGGCUCUUCUUUGAGGCCAGACUAAAAAUAAGACUCCUGAUGAUUUCGUGAGACUUUGAGGUGACAUAGAUACCUUCACCCAUAGGAUCUCACAGAGCCUUUCUCAGAGUGAAUUUGGCUGUGGGAGCUGCCUUGCAAGCUGUUGGCCCUUCCAAAAGUUGUUAUAAAUGUGGACAGUCUGGACAUUUUGCCAAACAAUGCCCCCUGACACAGGGCAUAUCGACUGCUAUGCCUUGACCCCGGGGGCAACACCCCCCAAUGGCUAAUACUGUGUGCCCCAGAUGCAAAAGAGGCAAACAUUGGGUGAAUCAAUGUAGAUCCAAGAUGGAUGCCAUGGGUAAUCCUUUGCCACCCCUUCAGGGAAACGGCACGAGGGGCCAGCCCAGGGCCCGAGGCCCAUCCAUUUCCUGCCGGCCUCGGGGACCAGUCAGCAGAAAACAAUGCCCCAACUUUCCCCUGCUCCACCCAACUCCUCAGAACAAACCCAGGGAGCACAGGAUUGGACCUGUGUACCUCCACCAGUACAAUUUUAAAACAUGAAAAUGGUGUUCAGGUCUUACCUACUGGUGUCUUUGGUCCUCCUCCCCGUAAUAUGUUUUUUCUCACUCUGGGACAUGCCUCAUCCACCAUCAAGGGCCUCAUUGUUCACCCUUCCCAGGUUGAUAAUGAUUUUACAGGAGAAAUUAAGAUUUUAGCUAGUUCCAGCUCAGGACCAAUCUUACUCCCUCAAGGACAUGGGGUUGCACAAGCUUUGCCCCUCCCAUUGAACACCCAGAACCCAGUAAUUGGGAGGGCCGGGGGGGGGCUCUCAGCCACGGUCCUCAGAUCUUUUCUGGGUCCAGAUGGUGUCCAGAGAACGUUCUAUGCUACACCUUAAGUUGGAGGGGCGAUGGUUUGAGGGCAUUGUGGAUAUGGGGGCUGAUGCCACCAUCCUUGCAAAAAAUUCCUGGCCCUCGGCUUGGCCACUUCAACCUUCCCUUAUACAUUUACAGGGCAUUGGCCUACAAAAUACCUUACAGAGUUCUAAAAUUUUGACAUGGGAAGAUUCAGAAGGGAAUUCUGACACAGUGCAGCCUUUUGUUGUUGAAGCCCUGCCAGUUAAUUUGUGGGGAAGAGAUAUUCUCUCUCAAAUGAAAGUUAUUAAGUGUAGUCCAAAUGAGAUUGUAACCCAACAGAUGUUGUCCCAAGGCUUUUUGCCAGGACAAGGCCUAGGAAAGGAGGGCCACAGCAUGCUUACACCCAUAAGCGUUUCACAUAAGUGUGAUUGCACUGGGCUAGGGUAUCAAGGUUUUUCUUGAGAGCCAUUGAUCCCCCUGCUCUCCAGGCUGAUAAAAUCACUUGGAAGAGUGACGAUCCGGUCUGGAUUGGCCAGUGGCCCCUUUCUUCCCAAAAGUUAUCAGCAGCCCUAGAGUUAGUGUGGGAACAGCUGGCCACUGGGCAUAUUGAGCCCUCCAUGUCCCCUUGGAAUAUACCCAUAUUUGUCAUACAGAAAAGAUCAGGAAAAUGAUGCCUAUUAUAAGACUUACAUGCCACCAACAAAACUAUGGUUCCCAUGGGGUAAUUACAACCUGGCCUGCCAUCCCCAUUGCCAUUCCUAAGAAUUACUCUAAAAUUGUUAUAGAUCUUAAAGAUUGUUUCUUUUUCAUUCCCCUACAUCCAGAUGAUUGUAAAUGCUUUGCCUUCAGCCUUCCCAUAAUUAAUUUUGUAGGGUCUUCGCCUCAUUUUCAAUGGAGGGUUCUCCCCCAGGGCAUGGCUAAUAGUCCCAAACUUUGUCAGAAAUUUGUUGCUCAGGCUGUUGAUCCUUUUAGGCUUCACUUCCCUAAUCUUUAUAUUGUCCAUUACAUGGAUGAUAUUCUUCUGGCCGGAGCUGAUGAGUACCAAAUUCACCAGGCUGCCCAACAGCUUAUAUCUGCUAUUCAGCAACAAGGCUUACAAAUUUCUCCCGAGAAGGUAUAACUCCAACCUCCACAUUUGUUUUUGGGAUUCGAGCUCUUCCCUAACAAGAUCAUUUCCCAAAAAAUACAAAUUAGAAAGGAUUCAUUUCUUACUCUUAAUGAUUUCCAGCAUCUUUUAGGCGAUAUUAAUUGGCUUCGCCCCUACCUCAAACUCACUAAAGGAGAACUCAGACCCUUGUUUGAUAUCCUUAGGGGAGACUCAGAUCUAUCAUUUCCAUGCAGCCUUACUGCCGAAACCGGUCAGGCUUUGUCCUUAGUGAAAAAUGCUAUUAAUAGUCAAACCAUUACCUAUUUCUCUCCUGAUAUGCCCUUAGUUUUUCUUGUUCUCCCUACUCCAUUCUCUCCCAUGGAACUUUUUUGGCAAACUAAGCCCCUCUUUUGGGUUCAUUUGUCGGCCUACCCUCCUAAAGUUCUCUCUACAUAUCCUUGGAUGGUGUUACAGCUAAUUAAGAUGGGAAGAGAACAGUCUCUCUAGCUUUUUGGAAAGGACCCUGAUACCCUGAUUCUUCCAUAUAGUCCCUCUCAGGUUCAAUGGUUGAGCCACUAUGAUGAUGAGUGGGCCAUUAGCUGUGUUUCUUUUCAGGGCGCUACUGAUAAUCAUUAUCUACCUGAUAGGCUUAUUCAAUUUUUAUAUAAAACCCCAUAGUGUUCCCUAAAAUAACCAAGACUGCACCCAUUGCCAGGGCCACCUUGGCUUUUACUGACGGCUCAUCAAUUGGCAUUGCAACAUAUUCCAUUGAUUCAAAAGUUUUUCGGUUCCCCACCUCUUUUUCUUCUGCUCAGCUGGUCGAGUUGGCAGCUAUUAUCAAGUUUUUUGAAACAUUGCUGGAUCUACCCUUUAAUUUGUUUACAGAUAGCUCCUAUGUUGCUUGUUCGGUUCCACUUUUGGAAACUGCCCCAUAUCUGCCCAUCCACUAAUGCAGCACCCUUGUUUUUGGUCCUUCAAAAAUUGAUUCAUGAGCAUUCCUGUCCUUUUUUUAUUGGCCAUAUACAUGUUCAUUCUGGUUUACCUGGUCCUUUAGCACAGGGCAAUGAGUCUGUAGACCAUGCAAAUCAAAUUACAGGAAUAGUUCAGUGAAUUACCCACAGCCCUGCUGAUUCCCUGCUUUCAAGCUCAGAAGGCUCAUGAUCUCCAUCAUCUUAUUUCCUACACCUUAAGAUAUAAAUUUGGCAUUUCUAGAGAACAGGCACGACAGAUAGUGUUCAACUGCAGAGGUUGCCUCACCUUUUUGUCUGAGGCCCAUUUGGGAGUCAACCUCAAGGUUUAGUUCCUGGAGGAAUUAUCGAUUAUGGUGGAUGUUACUCAUUUUGCCCCAUUUGGAAAGCUUAAAUAUAUACAUGUUACCAUUGAUACCUUUAGUGGUUAUAUUUAUGCCAUGCUUCAGACUAGAGAAGCCACUUAACAUGUUAUUUCUUGUCUUACAGACUUGCCUCAGCCUAAAAUUAUUAAGACAGAUAAUGGCCCCAGCUACACCAGCAGCAGCUUUAGAUGGUUCUGCUUACAGUUGGGCAUUAAAAAUGUUACUGGCAUUCCAUAUAAUCCUCAAGGACAAGGCAUUGUUGAGAGAGCUCAUCAAACUCUUAAAAAUAUGAUCUCUAAACUACAGUCAAAUGGGGGAAUUUUAUAUCUAUUGUUGGGCAAUUAUAAGACCCUACUUAACCAUUCACCUUUUGUUUUGAAUUAUCUCAUGGUAGAUGCUGAAGGCAAAUCUGCCACAGAUUGCCUGUGGCACCCAUCCACCGCACAAAACUAUGCCCAGGCUCUUUGGAAAGAUCCAUUAUCUAAUAAAUGGUAGGGCCCUGACCCAGUCCUUAUCUGGGGAAAAGGACAUGCCUGCGUUUAUGAUAUUCAAGUAAGAAAUACCAGAUGGUUGCCAGAGUGCCUGAUAAAAUUAUAUAAUC
rnacentral:lncRNA from 1 species